rnacentral:rRNA from 1 species
AUUGAACGCUGGCGGCAUGCCUUACACAUGCAAGUCGAACGGCAGCACGGGUGCUUGCACCUGGUGGCGAGUGGCGAACGGGUGAGUAAUACAUCGGAACGUACCUUAUCGUGGGGGAUAACGCAGCGAAAGCUGUGCUAAUACCGCAUACGCCCUGAGGGGGAAAGCGGGGGAUCGCAAGACCUCGCGCGAUUAGAGCGGCCGAUGCCUGAUUAGCUAGUUGGUGGGGUAAAAGCCCACCAAGGCGACGAUCAGUAGCUGGUCUGAGAGGACGAUCAGCCACAAUGGGGCUGAGACACGGCCCAGACUCCUACGGGAGGCAGCAGUGGGGAAUUUUGGACGAUGGGGGCAACCCUGAUCCAGCAAUGCCGCGUGAGUGAAGAAGGCCUUCGGGUUGUAAAGCUCUUUUGUCAGGGAAGAAGCACCGGCUCUAACACAGUCCGGGAAUGACGGUACCUGAAGAAUAAGCACCGGCUAACUACGUGCCAGCCGCCGCAGUAA